rnacentral:misc_RNA from 1 species
AGGCUCCCGGGCGCGCGAGUA